rfam:Schistosoma mansoni strain Puerto Rico chromosome 1, complete genome
GGUUCGGUGGUGUAGUGGUUAUCAUGUCUGCUUUACACGCAGAAGGUCCCCGGUUCGAACCCGGGCCGAACCA